CAACUAAACCAACCCAGACCCAACCAGACAGAUCCAGACCCGACUUGUUGCCUACCCUAAGUCCCGUUGACAAACCCAAACCAAACAUACCUGGCUCAAUAAGGGAUCCAGAACCGGGACCGGGGGUUUGGGCUACCGAUUAACAGCCGCACCACCGCGCAUGAAGCGAAUCAUCGUUCUUCUCUUUAAAAGCGGUCCAGGGAGCACUUCUCAUGAGAGAUCUCUCUCUACACUCCCACUCUUGAUCCUGACUUCGCCUUUGCAACCCCAACCCUUGGUCAAAAAUAUUCAGAGAUGGACGUCUUGAAGACGCCAUGACCGUUUCAGAGGGCACCCACCUCCAUGAAUCUCUUUCAAGUGUCUUCUCCUCAAAUCCAAUGCAAUUUUCUGCCGUACUGGGGUUUUUAGCAGGAUGUACAUUUCUCGCCAACAUUGGCCACUAGAGACAAAACAUAAGCUAUUCAACAUUUGUAGACCCCACCAUAAUUGGGAGCAGAAGUGGGUUCGAAGCAAGGGAGUGAUUGCUGGCUAGAAGCUCCCUAGUUUGGGAGUGACAUAAGAGUGGGUACAAAAACAUAUAAGAAAUAGUAAAAUUUAAAAUUAUUUAGAAUUUAUUUAUUAUUAUGGAAGGGUUUCUAUGAGACCCUCCUUACUCAUUGUGCAUAUGCAUCCCACCUAUGAAGUCCAUCUUCAAGAUUGAUUUCGACCAAAUUUCUAAGAGAUCCAUGAUUUAGGCCAUGGUGAACUUGAAUAUGAAAUGGGCACCGAGAAAAGUGACCACGAAAAAAUAUACAAGCUGGACAAGAAAACACACAAAUGGAAACAGCCUGUAAGAUGCUGACAUUUAAGGAUGUAGGACAGCGCAAAAAGGCACUCGGCUUAAAAUUACUCCCUGGAGGCUCCUUGCUUAGCUAGUGCAUUGGUCACUUCGUUGGCCUCCCUCCAGGUAUGUGUCCAGACCUACGUAUGCCUGCAAAGAUCGGAAAUCUCGUCAAAGAUUGGCAAAAAUCUCCAUGGUGGGGUAGAUUCUCUGGUGGCCCAGGAGAUGACAUUCUUGGAGUCCAUAUUUGGGUGGCCUUUUCUCAAGGUCCAUCUUCAAUAUGGAAGUUCGUGCUGCGUCCUUUGACUUACAAAAAACUUUUCCUAUAAUUAUAUCAUUAAAUCAUCUUUGAAUGACAUCACAAAAUCCAUAAAAAAAAUUACGAUUCCUUAUCCUUUGAAAAUUUAUAGGUAUUUAUUAUACUCAUUAAUGUAUUUUGUUUUUACAGCAUCAUUAUCUAUUUUGGAAUAAAUAAUAAAUUUGCCAUUU